rnacentral:SRP_RNA from 2 species
GCUGGGUGCGGUGGCUCACACCUGUAAUCCCAGCACUUUGGGAGGCUGAGAUGGGUGGAUCGCCAGAGGUCAGGAGUUUGAGACCAGCUUGACCAACAUGGUGAAACCCCAUCUCUA